GGGGAAUCUUGCGCAAUGGACGAAAGUCUGACGCAGCGACGCCGCGUGCGGGAGGAAGCUCUUCGGGGUGUAAACCGCUGUUGCCCGGAACGAAACUCACCUUUCGAGGUGAUUGACGGUACCGGGUGAGGAAGCGCCGGCUAACUCUGUGCCAGCAGCCGCGGUAAUACAGAGGGCGCGAGCGUUGUCCGGAAUCACUGGGCGUAAAGGGCGCGUAGGUGGCCACUAUAAGGCCGCGGUGAAAGUUCGGGGCUCAACCCUGAAUCUGCCGCGGCGACUGUAGGGCUAGGGCACCGUAGAGGCAGAUGGAAUUCCGGGUGUAGCGGUGGAAUGCGUAGAGAUCCGGAAGAACACCGGUGGCGAAGGCGGUCUGCUGGGCGGUGAACCCGCAAGGGUUCAAUAGCCGACACUGAGGCGCGACAGCGUGGGGAGCAAAC
rnacentral:rRNA from 1 species